rnacentral:rRNA from 1 species
AGCGAACGCUGGCGGCAUGCCUAACACAUGCAAGUCGAACGAGACCUUCGGGUCUAGUGGCGCACGGGUGCGUAACGCGUGGGAACCUGCCCUUAGGUUCGGAAUAACUCCCCGAAAGGGGUGCUAAUACCGGAUAAUGUCUUCGGACCAAAGAUUUAUCGCCUUUGGAUGGGCCCGCGUUGGAUUAGCUAGUUGGUAGGGUAAAAGCCUACCAAGGCGACGAUCCAUAGCUGGUCUGAGAGGAUGAUCAGCCACACUGGGACUGAGACACGGCCCAGACCCCUAGGGGAGGCAGAAGUGGGGAAUAUUGGAAAAGGGGCGAAAGCCGGACCCAGCAAUGCCGGGUGAGUGAUGAAGGCCUUAGGGUUGUAAAGCUUUUUUACCCGGGAUGAUAAGGACAGUACCGGGAGAAUAAGCCCCGGCUAACCCCGG